CAGGAGGAGCUGGGCCAAGGAUGGAUUCUUAGGAGAAGAAGGCGCAGAAUACCAGGGAGAGGCAGUCAUAGCCACCCUGACCACUGUGGAGGCCCUUGAGUAUCACCCAGGAACUGAAGCUGGAAAAGGAGGAGGACGGUUCCUCAGAGGAGUUUGAAGAAGCACUGUUACAUGACUCAUUCACACCCUCCA